rnacentral:rRNA from 1 species
GACGGAGGAUGCAAGCGUUAUCCGGAAUGAUUGGGCGUAAAGCGUCCGCAGGUGGCAGUUCAAGUCUGCUGUCAAAGACCGGGGCUUAACUUCGGAAAGGCAGUGGAAACUGAACAGCUAGAGUAUGGUAGGGGCAGAGGGAAUUCCUGGUGUAGCGGUGAAAUGGCGUAGAGAUCAGGAAGAACAUCGGUGGCGAAGGCGCUCUGCUGGACCAUAACUGACACUCAGGGACGAAAGCUAGGGGAGCGAAUGGG